AAUUUCAUAUUUAACUAUGGUGUUCUCUUAUGAGAACUGAAUAGGGAAUCUGGUUGAAGUCCAGAACUGUCCUCGCAACUGUACGUGUGGACGAAAGGGAAAUGCCACUUUAUAUAUAUAAGGGAAGGCUCUCGAGUAGAUCGAUACACAAGUCAGUAGACCUGCCAUGGUUAACCGUUUCAA
rnacentral:ncRNA from 2 species